rnacentral:lncRNA from 1 species
UUUGUGAUGAUAUCUGUUGUCUAAUCUUGUUUGUUAUUUAAUUGGAUUGAUGAUGAUGAUUUUUAGGCGGAGGGAACUAAGCCGGAGGAAGAAGAGGAGUCUGAGAAGUCUAUGUCAGAGGUGAAUGAUGAGGAUGAUGAUGAAGAAGGCAGUGGCGAGGUUUUUUUUGGGGAUGUUUUGAUUUUUAGUUUGACUUGUUAUCAUUGUUAUGUGGUUUUUCUUGAAUUUGUUUGUUGAUUUAUUGUUUUUGGUUUUGUGCAGGAGGAUGAUGAUGAAUAGAAGUUGAAGGAAGAAAUUAGCAUAGUCAUGUUAGGCUGUGACAAUGUUUCAAACAACAUAUGUUAAUGCUUUGUGCUUCCAUGUUAAUUUUUUUGGAUGCUUUCAUCAUCUUCAUCAUCAUGUAAGAGAAUCAUGUUGCUUCUCCCUCGACAUUUUCUUAUGCCUGCCUUUCAAAGAAUUAAUAGCUGUAGGUGGGAGAUUCACUGCUCUAUAUGUACUGUGUUCUAAAGCUUAAUGAUUUAGCUAAGGCGUUCCAUCGUUUGUAGAAAAAUCCCAUGUUUUUUGAUGAUGAAUGGUGGUGAUGGUUUUUUCUUAUCUUUUGUAAUGCUAAGGAAAUUAGUUACAUUUGCUAUAGUUAAUCUUUAACGCAUUUGCAUGGUUAGGUCAUGAUUGGAUUGCAUGAUGUCAUAUGGCUUAUGAUUGAGCAGCUUGGAUGCUGAAGUAUGUUUUUAAUGAAUGGAAUGUCUUAAAAUAAUUUAUUUUGAUAAUAAGCACAUUGAAGUGCUAAAUUGUUUGUCAAUCUGUGGCUGCAAAUUGGUAGAGUAGAAUUCAUCCUUUGUGGCAUUGCCAGUGCUAAAUUUCAAGCAUUCAAGUGCAAUAUAAAUUAUCUUUUCUGGUUACAAUGUGUUUGGUGCCUUUUGCCUAAUCACAUAGUUAUUGUUUGGCUCAGAAAAAUGUUAUGCUUCAGCUCCUUUAUGCAGUUUUGGGGAAAACCUUUUUGACUUUUUACUUGAAGAUGGUGCUGCCGGACAAAAGUAUUUGCUGUUUUGCUCGCUGUGAUUAAUAGAUUAAACGGCCAAGCAAUUUCUAGUCAUUUGUGGGUUGGGUUAAUUUUUACAAAUUGGAAUAUGUUGGAUGGUUCAGCUAUAUAUGAUUGAUUUUUGGAAAUAUAUUUACUUUAUUCACCAUCCCUAAUAAGUAAUCAAUUUUUAUUUCCGCCGACUGACUACCUCAGCAAUUUUAUUUUGUUCUAGUUUUAAAAUUGGUAUCGAUUUAAUGCAUGAUAUUUAUUAGCUAAUUUAUUGGCAAUAAAUUAUGAAUAGUGUAGAGGAUCGAAAUAAAAGAUGGAGAAGACAUUUUGGAAUAAGAAUUGGGCUUAUUAUUAGAUGGAGACUGUUCAAUGAAUGUGUAUGAAAAUAUUUGAAGAAAAUAGUAAAAAAAGGUAUUUGGGUAAAUAUUAUAUGAGGUAACAUAUUACUAUGAUAGGCUAAUCAAGGUAUAUUUGAUUGUUAACGAUGAAGCAAGUACAAAUAGAUCUGUAUGUGUCGAUAAUAAAUGGUUGUAAUUUGAAUUUAUUGAGUGAUUGAAUAGGCGUGGUUGGUAGGAAAGAUUUCAUAAAAAGAAAAUAAAAAUACCCACGCGAGCUACGGACACACAAAGACAAUGGGAAACCUAGAAAAUUAAUUCGAGAGGGGGGCAAUUGAAAAAGAAAAUAUUAAGAGGGCAGUAUCCAACAAUAACCUAACAAAAAGAAAUACCAAUUAUAAAUAUUUUUUCUCAAAAUUGUCGGCAAAAUCCACAAAAGAAUAAUUUUUAUAUACAUGAACCUGUCAAAAAAUUGUCACUCUAAACAGGAUCAUCAACGUACAUAAAAAAGAUAAAAUUGAUCUAAUUCAUCGACCUCAAAAUAAUUACUAGCCUUUUUGAAAAUUGAUCAUUAUUCAUCAACCAAACGUUAUUAAAAUUAAAUUAUUGUUACUCCAUAAUCAUAACCCCAGCAAGAGAAAUCAAAAUCAGUCAAUAACCCCAAUAUUUUCAUUUUUUCAAAUCAGCAGCGGCUUUCGAGGAAGAGGAAGAAAGGCCAGUUGCCUAGUGACUUUUCUAGCCCGUAAAUCCACCAUGUAUUUUUUCAUUUUUUUAAUAAUCUAACAGCCGUUCGAUUUCUGACUCUAAACUAUUAUUUGUCCGUUAGUUACGAGUCCCCCUUUUAAAUGUAUUGACAGAACAGAUACGUGAUAUUUUUUUCGGUAUUGGAAGCAGAUUUUUCACUUUAGUGCCGGCAGAAUCUAAAUUCUUUUAAGAGCUAGAUAUUUAGAAUAAAAUAUUAAUAUAUUGUAAAUAUCUUCACUCAUUAUCGAGUCGGAUACGAUGGAUGUUGGGCACAUGGGCAACGGACGGCCAUCUCACAAAUUUAACGAAUUGUCGCGGCGCAGCGUGGUUUAAAGUUAUUCCUCUGUUUGUUAAACCUGUACAACACCAUUCUCCAUUCAAACGAGUGUUGAAUUUGACAAAGAAAAAUAAUCAUAAGAGUAACGUUGGGGUAAAUUUGAGGAACGUAGACAGAUUCUGACAUAAGCAAGCCUCCGUGAUGGGCAAUCAUAAUACAAAAAUAGUUAAAUUUCAACACAGAUACUGAAUAAAUAGGUCUCAAUUUUUGAACCUUCUCUUAAGAAAAACAUAUUUACUUUAAUUAUCUAAUAGACACAAUGUAUUUAAAUUAUUCUGCCAUUCAUAUAUAUACAUAUAAUGAUAUAUUUCACACAGAGAUCUUUCGUCACACAUCUGAUUCUCGGUGUUAUGUUUGUUUUGCCUUUGAACAUCUACUUAAUUCUGCAAGAAUUUAUAAGAAUUUAACCUUAUACAAUUCUUUUUAAAGUGGCCUCAAUUCUCUCUCACAUAUGUUAUUUCUUAAUUAAGAACAACCCUUAUUAUGUGCUCAAAUUCUCAAUGCAUAAGAAUCAUUAAGAUCAUAACUCGUUCUUUCUCCUACAAGCAUCAUUAUAUCAUCAUAGAAAUAGAUACUAGGAACCCUUAUAGUGACCUGGCUUAGUCUUUAAUAACUGAGUUUUCCCUUUGAACUAUAACUCUAUGGGCUUUAGUCUUAUUUUCUUCUAUGAUUUUCUACUAUCUCUCUGUUUAAUUCUUUAGUUAGUGAAUUUAUAAUGUUAUCCUUUGACUUCAUGUACUCAAUAAAAAUAACUACAAUAAAGAGUAAUUCCCUAAUGUUAAUUAUGUUUUUGAUGUAUAUGUCUAGACUUACUAUUAUACAUAUUGCUUUGUGCGCUUCCAAUUACAGAUUGAUUAUCACAGUGAAUGCAAAUUGAUGGCACAAGUUUUGGCCAACUUGGAAUAUCCUCUAAGAAAUUUCGCAGCCAUUAUACUUUUUCACCAUAUUUAUCCAAUGCAAUGAAUUCAGAUUCUGUUAUAGAUCUAACUAUCACAGUUUUUUCUAGAGAAUUUCCAUGAAAUAAUUGUACCUGCUAAUGUAAACAUAUAGUCAUUGGCAGACUUUUAAGUCUUUCACAUAAGACAUCCACUUUGCUAUUCAUAUUAAUGUAUCCUUCUAGUACAAUUGAAUAUCUAGUAUAGUGCAUCUCGUAAUUUUGAGUAUAUUAUAAGCAUCUGAGUACCCUUACUAUUGCUUUCUUGUGGUUAGCCCCUGGUUACUCGUAUAUCUACUGAACUUCCUCAUUGUAAAAAUUGAGUUUGAUUUUAUAUAGCUUAUUAAGUACAUCAAAAUCUAUAUCACUCUAGAAUAUUCUAUUAAAGGAAUUUUAGUCACAACAAAAGUAUCUUUGUUGAAUUUACUAAGUUUUUUUUUUCACAUAAUAUAAUUGACUAAGAAUAAGUCCAUUAGAAGUCCUUAAAUUUUUUAUUCUCAAGAUGACAUAUGCUAGAUCUCAUGUAUUUCAUGUCAAAUUUAUACUUCAACAUAUUCUUAGUAGACUUAACAAUUUUAUCAUUAUUCCCAACAUUGAGCAUGUCAUCAAUGUAAAGCCAUAAAAUAGCUUAGCUAUUUUCUAUCUCUUUGAUAUAUAUACGCAUAUUUCACGUUUGUUGAUCUUAAAACCAUUUGCCAUCAUCAUUUGGUCAAAAUUUUCUUAAAACCAUUUUGCAUAAUCCUUAGGUCAAAUCUCUCAUGCUUAUUUCAAUCCAUAAUGACUUUACUAAUUUACUGACCUUAUUAUUAUUAUUAUUAUUUUGGGAUUUUGGAGACUGUUCCAUAUAUAUUUCUUCAUCUAAGUCCCCAUUUAAAAAGAUUUUUUUUACAUCCAUUUGAGUACUUCAAGAUUACAUAAAGUCGCAAUUGCAAGUAUCAUCCUAAUAUAAUUUAUUCUCGUUACAAAAGAAUAUAUAUCAAAAUCAUCAAAGCCUUUUGUUGUUUAUAACCUUUAAUUACAACUCUAGCCUUAUAUUUGUUAAUUGAUCCAUCAACUUUCAUUUUUUCCUUGAUAUCACAGAGGUUUGCACCCUAGAUAAAGUUCCACAAACAUUUAAGUAUGAUUUUGUAAGAUAGAUUUAAUUUAACUGUUAAUGGCGUUUUUUCACAAAGUGUCUUCUGGUGAAAUUAUAAAUCUUCCUUGAAGCUUUGAGAUUCACUUUCCAGUAGCUCUUUUGUUACAUUUAAGUUCAAUCUCAACCUAUUAUUCAUAUUCUUAAAUUUCUUCUUGUUCUAGGUUCUGACUAUCUUCAACAAUAGGCUCAUGUGUUCAUUUAAUUGAACUUGAAUCAUCUUUGAAUUUACAAGUAAAUACAUGUUCAAAAAAUUAUGCAUUUCCUAAACAAUAGUUUUUGGUCCUAUCUUCAUAUUUGUAGGUGGAGAAAUGACCACUUUAGCAAGACACCUCAACACUCAUAAGAAUUUAUAGCAAGUUACUUUACCUUUCAAUAAUACGUAAGGAAUUAUCUCUUUUUCCUUUCAGGGCACUUUAUUUAAAAGUAAAUAGCUAAUAAAACCAACUUCUCUUUACAUAUCCUAAGGUACCCCAUAACCUAUCAAUAUUGCAUUCAUCAUUUUUUUCAAGGUAUGAUUUUUUUGUUAAGCAAUCCUAUUAGAUUGAGAUGAAUAAGGAGCUAUGAUUUGAUGUAUAACUCUAUAUUGUUAAUAGAGUGAUCCAAAUGGAACAACAUAUUCACCACCAUGAUUUCUUCUCAACACAUUCAUUUUUUUGUUUGGUUGAUUCUCAACUUCAUUUUAUAGAGAAUAAAUUUCUAAAUAAAUUCAUCCUUACUUUUUAACAAAUACACAUAACAAAAUUUUAUAUAGUCAUUAGUUAAAAUUAAAAAAAUAUUUAUGCAUUUCUUAAUUAGAAUAUUAUAUUUAUGUGAAUAUCUGGUAUAUUCCACUUAUACACUAGAAAUCAAGAUGGAGGAAUGAUCACUUUAGCAAGAUACCCUCACACUUAUAAAUAUUUAUUAGAUGGCGUUGUACCUUUCUGUAAUUCAUAAGAGGUUUUCUCUAUUUCCUUUUGGAAUACUUUAUUUAAAAUGUAAUUAAAUAACUUCUCCUCACACAUCUAAGAUAACCCAAAACUUAUGAACAUUACAUUAAUCAUUUCUUUUAAGGUAUGAUAUUUUCUUUUAGCAAUCCCGCUAGAUUGAGCUAAAUAAGGAGAUGAGGUUUGAUGUAUGAUUUCUUGUUGUUAGCAAAGUGAUCCAAAUAGAACAACAGACUUACCACCAUGAUUAUUUCUCAACUCCAUCAUUUUAUUAUUUAGUUGAUUCUCAACUUCAUUUUUAUAUAGAAAAAAUUUCUUUAUAGCUUUUUGUCUUUGUCUUUGUCUUUUAACAAAUACAUAUAACAAAAUCCACCCCUCGACUAAAUGGAUUUAAAGCACAUAUAUCGUUGUGUAUUAGAUCAAGUGGUUCAGUGCUCCUUUUAAUUAUUUGAGGGCAUACGAUUCCCUUAUGUUUUGUAUAAAUUUGUUAGUUUUGCCUCAACACAAGAUUCCCACUUAUGUUUUGUAUAAAUUUGGAAUAAGGAUAUAUGAUUUAUGUUAAUUAAUUUACGAAAAUAAUUAUAAUUAACAUGUCCUAAUCUACCAUGCAAUAAAUCAAACGACUCAAGAAAAUAAGGCUAAUAAUAUAGAUCAUGAAGAAAUUGCUUCGUUAUUCUUAAGUUCUACCUUAGCCACAAAAAUGAUAAUUUUCAUGUCAUUAUUUUUGUUGACUUAUUCAAUUUAAAGUCUUAUAAUUAGGUCUUCAAUGCUCAUUUCCUUUCUUUUAUACUUUGGAUAACUCUUCAAAUCUCAAUUUUGUUUCAAUUCAACAGAAAUUGAAUUGAAUGUCCACCCCUACCCUAAGUGUCAAACAUUUUACUGAUCUUACUAGUUACCACUUUAACCAUUGAUGGUUGUUUGAUAUUGAUAAUAUAAAUACCUUUAAUUAUUUAAUUGAUAUUGUUGUUAGACUAUACAGAUUUAAUUUCAAUUCAAUUCAAUCCUAGUGUAAUAAAAAGAAAAUGGCAAAAUCACCUUUAGUCUUUUCAUUUUUACUAAACAAAUUGGUGCGUUUCGAGAUUCAAUUUCUUAUUAACUCAAACACGAGUUUGAGUAUUUUAUGAUUAAAAGAGCUCACGGAGAAUAUUCUGAAUUAUCCAUGCAAGCAUAUUUCCUCAACAUAUAUCUUACUGAAAAUUGGCAUUAUAAUAAUUAUUUGUAUGUUAUUUUUUCAGCAUAUAUAUUGUUAAGCUUUCUUAUAUACUUAAGAGAUUUAGCAUGGGUUGUAAACAAAACAUUUGCAUUAGGUAUACACCCAACUUUCUUAGGGUGUAUUUGGAAGUAAGAUGUUAUAUCUUUUAAGUUGAAGUGGAUAAAACCCAUAAAUGUGGAGUAAAACUGAGAAAAAAAAAGACGCUAAGCUGCCAAAACACAGUUGUAAGGUGUUACCAAACAACUUUUAUUUUUGAAUUACACAUCAUUCCCAAAUGCAUCCUUAAAUUACUCAAUUGUUGUUUUCCUAUUUGUUUGUUAAAAUUAACACGUGUCCAUGUGUUUGCUUCAUCACUAAACACUGCCUCUUUAUUAUUCCCGUUGGAUAUGCCGAGGGCUGAUAGUUUCAUUCAUCUCCAAAGACUCAAACCUUUAGCAUAAAUUACUUAAACAAAAUAACAGUUGUAAAAUUUCGUUCCUUUUGUGUGUGUGUGUGUGUGUGUGUGUGUGUGUGUAUUACAAUUAUGAAAAUAAUAUAACUCUUAACAUCUUAUCAGGCUAGAGUAUGCUCUCACAUUUUGUUUAAUAUUGACUUAAUAUAUAUCAUACUCCAAAGUCCAAACAUAAGAUACAGCCCGUGCACGUUGAAAUUCCAUACCCACUACCCAGCAAAGAAAUAACAUGGGUUUUGUACUAUAUUUAAUUAAUUCCCACUAACCAACCCCUACGUAUAAUUAUUAGCCAAUUUUUUGAAUCAAAAUCUUGGUUUAUAAUAUGAUUUUUCAUCUCAUAAACAGAAUGUGCGUAAUUUCGUUUUUUUUUUUCCUUUUUUUUAAUUUUUAAAUAAUAAAGUCAUAAUAGUAUAGAAAAAUUUCUAUUUGAAGUGAAUUAGAUAAUAAUAAGAUGUAAAAAUUAAAAUUUUGAAUAUAUAAAAUAUUUGCUAAUACAUUUAUAAAUGUAUUUUAUGCAUUUUCAUAUUUUGAAAACAUUGUGCAUUAGACUCAUUAUCAAUGCUAUUAAAUACAUUAGUUUCUAUAUAAAUAACCAAAACAAUCAUGCAUCCAUUUAUCUCCCAUUCAAUUCUAGAGCUGCGAAUUUCAUUUACUAAAGAUAUUUUUUCUAUGAAUAAAUAAUUACCCAUUAUGUGAGUUACUAUUUAGGAUAAUUUAUUUGUGAACGAGCGUAACUUAAUUAUUUUAAACACUCGUGUAACACACUCAUUAUUCAAAAUAUAAUUCUCUUACCAUUAACCCUAAAACUUUUGUUUCUAACAUGUUAAAAAAUACUUCGUUGAAUGUGCAGCAAAUUAAUUAAAGAAAAACUAUUAAGUAAAGUUAUUUUUUUUAAAAUUAUUUCAAAGUAUAAUUAAUUCCAUUGUUGUAAGUUAUGCUAAAUUUCUUGAAAAUUUUUCUCGUGUGUGCUAAAUAUAUUUAUUGGUGUUUUAAUAAAUAAAUUAAUUUAAGUGUUUUAAGUAAAGAUUUUAUUAGUAUUUUAAAGAAUAUACAUCUGUAAAAUUUAAUUCUUUAAGUUUAGUAGAUGACUAUGCAAAGUAGUAAAGUGUUCAAUGCAAAUAAUUUCGCUCUUUCUUUAUUGUGGUUGUGAAAAUUGGAAGAAUUGAUGCAGAUGUCACCAACAAAUAUACUAAAAUUAAUGUUUAAUUUGUGAUUAAAAGGAUGAGAUAUUGUUAUUUUUAAAUAAUAUAAAUUUAUUUUGAAGAAUGAAAAAGUAUUUUCGGUUGUGGGGAGGUGGGCUAUUAUUAUUUUUAAUUAGAGUAUCGGCUUUUGCAAUAAUAAAAGUUGAAAUUUAAAUUUAUGAAUUUUAUAAGAAUUCUUUUAAUACCUUAAUGGGGAUCAGUUAGAAAUUUUAAAUAUAUGUUUUCCGAGCCUCCACUGCUCACGUGCUGGAUCCUCCGCCGGUGGUAAAUGGUAUGAGGUACUGUAACACAAAACAGAAUGGCAUGGAUGGGUUUUCAUGUUGUCAUGCAAUGGAAUAACAUGGCGGACACCGAACAGUCACAUCACAUCCCUCUGACUUGGCAGCCAAUAAAUAAAGCAAAGCAAGACAAUUAGACAAAGGGCAAAUAUUUUACGCCCCUUUUGCUCUCCGGUUGCAUUAAUUUACAGGACAAUAGGUUCUUUUUCUUUUCUUUUUCGAAUUUAAAGAUUACACUAGUUUCUCUGAUCAACGGGAUCAUUUAACCAAUGACUUGGCAGGGCCUACCCGCCUACGCCUGUGAGUGAUUGUAGUUCAAAAGAAUAAGAAGAGUAGAAAUGACUUACCCGCGAGACCCGCAAGUUAUAGCGUUAAUUUGGCACAGUCAACUUUCUAAUUGCAUUAAACUGAGCAAUUAACUCCGCCGCCUGUCAAUUACACACUUUUUGUUUGUUUCCAAAAUAAAUAUAUAAUUCAGAGUGAGUGUGUGUGUGUGUGUUGGUGAUGGAAUGGUUUCUAUACCCUUGCACUCUAAAGUGACUUGUUUCUUCUUCUCCAAUCUAUAAAAUAAAUUUAUUUAUAUAAAAAUGAAAGAAAUGGUUUGAGUUUGGAAGUGGGUAGUGAAGGGUGGGAAAAAGAAAAAAGAGAAAAAGCCAAAAAGAAAAAAAAAAGAAAAUUCAAUCAAUGAAAAUGGAGUGGCCAAAUUUUCAACAAGGAGGAGAAAUGGAGAGGCAGUUUCAGCAAGAUGGAGGGGACACUAGUAAUGGGUUGUGCGUGAAAGUGAUGACUGAUGAACAAAUGGAGUUGCUCAGGAAACAGAUCGCUGUUUAUGCUAUGAUUUGUGAGCAGCUUGUUCAGAUGCACAAAGUCUUCUCUGCUCAAAAUGAAAUCGCUGGUCUCUUCUCUUUCUCUUUCCUCUUUUAGUGUGUUUUUCCAUUAGUCAUUGCAAGUUUCUGUUGCUUGAUUUUGCUCCGACUUGCUUUCUUAAUUUAGGUGAUACGAUAACCAAUCAGUUUAUACAUGGAAAAUCCCAAAUCCAUACUUGAAUCAUGCAAUAAUUGAAUCCCAAAUUAACACGAGCAUAGAAUCUCUGAUUGAUAUAAUGAAGAAAUGAUCAUCUUUAAGUGGAUGUAGAACACUUGCAAAUUCUUUCCUUUUUCGGCAAAGCCACUGCCUCCCCUUAUAUUCCGGAAAGGAAAUUAGAAACUUGCUAUGUCAUAUUCAUAGGCACUAGCCCAGUUUUCUGGGAAAAAAGAAAGCAUGAUUAUAGUAUAUUUUUUGGAGAAAUUGGAAAUUGAUUUGAGUCUUUUGAAACCCUAUCGAAUACGCUUGUCAACGAGUAUCCAAUUGCUUUUGCUUCAGCAGACUUUCCGUUCUGUUGCACCAUUCACUAGUUUAGCUACUUAUCCCAUCAAAGUCUUGCUAUUAUUCUCGUGAUUCAUUUAUCGAAUCAAAUUCUACUAGGACCUUGCCGUAGGCCCGCAAAAUUUUGAGGCCUUUUUUGUCUUGUAGGAAUGAGAAUGGGGAAUCCAUACUUUGAUCCCUUUGUGGCAUCUGGCAGCCAGAAGCUCACUGCCAGGCAACGGUGGACCCCGACACCUGCACAGCUCCAAAUCCUUGAGCAUGUUUACGAUGAAUGCAAGGGGACUCCUCGCAAACAGAAGAUCCAGGAUAUGACCGCUGAAUUGGCAAAACAUGGCCAAAUUUCUGAAACAAAUGUGUAUAACUGGUUUCAGAAUAGGAGAGCCCGUUUAAAGAGAAAGCAAUCAGGUGUGGUUCCAAACAAUGCAGAAUCAGAAGCAGAGACAGUGACACAUGCUGAAUCCAGGAAGCAAAACCCGGAAAGCAUCCAGUCAUUGGAGGAUUCAGCACCACCACCCAGGGACGAAGAUAUCUAUCCUCAAAGUCCUGAUUUAGGUAAUAAAUUUUUCUGCUUCAAUGUUCUGCUCAACAAAUAUAAACUUAUUUUCAGUCACAUGUAAGUUAAGAUUCAUAGGCAGUUUUUGUUGCAUGAGAGGUAUGCAAAAUUUCUGUUUUUGAUCCUUGUUACUUAUACUGAUGUCAAUUGGGCGCACCCUCAUACAAAUGAGCAAAAGAUUUCUGAAACAAUCUGGGGUUUUUGUGUAGGGAUUGACCAGAUGAUUGGUAAGAUGGAAAUUCCCGGAAGCUUCAGUUUUCACUGGCAGGUAGACCGAUAUGACAUGCUUGGAUGAUGCCCUUCCAGAAGGCAGUAGCUUAAUUGAGGAGGGUGAACAUGUCUUUUUGCUAAGAAAUAUAUGACCUACUAGCUGAAAAUCUACAAAGACAAUUGAACGUGGCCAAACUAUAUUGUUGUUGAAUCUAAAAUACACCUAUAUUCUAAUUCUGAUGAGCUUGGUUUGUUGGAGCUCAAAAAACUUUCUUAAGUAGUUAAAGUUGAUUGCAUGGAAGAAAUAUUAAUUUGUGACUGCAUCUACCCACGCAUUCGACACCAAGAUAUGUACAUAUAUGCAUAUAAAUACUUAUGUAUGUUAAAUGUUUCUUUUUAGCUUUUGUGCUCAAAUUUACUUAUUCUAGGGAGUGCAAUUCUAAUCUCACCAGGGUGCUAAACAAUAAAUAUGAUGUUUUUAUUAGCUAACAUCAUUUUUAUUUACUGGUUACAAGAAGUGCUUUACAACUUACAAAUCAUCCGAAAUGCAACCAGUAUGCCAAAAUUGUACAAUCAAGCUCCUGCUUGUAAUUGCAGAAGUGUGGGAGCUGAACAUUAAUUAGGCUGCACCAGCUGAGCUUGAUGACCAUAAAGGACCAAAAUGGUAAGGAAAUUCUUGACUUCUCUGCCUCUACUCGUACAUAUGUCCAUGGCAUAUACAAAAAGCCAGAAACAUACGAUCGUCUACAAUCUGAUAAUUUUGUGCAACAUACAAAUUCAUAAGGCCAUGUUAGAAUAUGCAAUCCGGCUCUCCAUUAGGAACCCCGGCCUUUCUUUGGUAGUCUCAGCUGCAGGAUUGUGAAAGCUGAAUUUCAGAUUUAUGGCGGGAUAAUGCCCUGUGAUCAAAAGCUGCAAGCAUUUUAUAAAUUAUUUUACCUUCGAUUUUGUGGACCUCCACCCUCCUGAAUCUUCCAGUAUUGGAGAAUAAGAAAAUUUUUCUAUGCAACUGAAAGCAGCGACUUUAUCCAUGGCUGAAUGAGUAAUUGGUGAUGAAUCCUGAAAUCAUACUAAAGUUGUUACCAGGAGGAGAGGGAAAAGCCAUAACUUCAAGCCAACUUGGCACUAUGACAAGUAGAAAAAUGAUGCACAAUGAGAAAAUAAAAUAAGGAAACAACAUAGCAAACUAACCUUGGCCUCUGACUUGAAUUUUCCAGAUUCAGGAAUUCUAAUUUCCAGACGAUCCAAGUAAAACAAUAUCUACACAUAAGGCGAAGUUAGAGAAGCAACCCAUUAUGUGACAAAUUGCAAAAACAAUAAGAUUUUGCAUGAAACCUACUUUGUUAAGUAACUGAAAGUUCAAUGCAUUGCUUGCCACUAUCUGAACGCCAAGACAGUUGCUGGGGCUACUGCAGAAGGGGCAAAAAAGGGUAUUAUAUACACAUCCAUCCUCUUCACACCAUAUGCCCUGUCCUGAGGCACCUCCAAAAGACUGGUUGGUGAGUAGCUGAUCAACUGAUGAAAUGUCAGUCAUGAUAACAGGUAUGCUUGUUACAUUUGCACACAGUUCCUGUCUUUGUUUCAGAAGAGAUACUAAGUGAGCUUUAGCAGAUGAAGUAACUGAGCACCUAACAUAUAGAUGAUUCUCAGGAAGACCUAAAGGGCUCCUACAGAGUGAACAUGAAAUUUGUAAAGUCUUGUCCAUAACUGGAGUAGAGGACAAAUGUGAUUCAGCACAAUUAUUUGACGUUUUGGAUUUGUUUUUCACAUAAUUGGUUUCCGAAUUAAAUUCAAUUCUCCGAUUUGCUUCUCUGCUUGCCAUUAACAUAAGGUCAACUGAAGGUGAAACCAUGGUUUUCCUCCUUUUUUGGGUAUGUGAAUUAACACUCGAACUCAAAGACGAAUCUCUUUCUGGUGGCAAAUUGCUGGUGUCUCCAGUGACUUCUUUUUCAGGAGUGACUACCAUCUCAGGCUGGGCGCUGGAAGGGACUCGGACCGGAUUUGUCAAAGACUGCGAAUGGACUGAUAAUUGAUCUGGAGAUUGUGUAGAUGCUUGAAAUAUGGUUGAACUAGAGUUCCCAUCCUUAGAUAAGGAUCCAGGACUAGCCAUGGUAUUAUUAUCAUCCAUAGCAGGGGUUUCCUUGACAAGGAGUAAUUCUGGAUCUUCAUUGGAGAAUGGCAUGGAUGAAGCCUCGCAGCACCUGCAGAAAAGAAAAAGUCUUAUAACCCACACAAAGUAAUCAUUGCAGUUUAAAUCAUGUGGCAAGAUAUUCAAAAGAAGCCACCUAUAAACUUUACCAAAAAACAAUUGCUUAAUCCAAGGACUUGAAACACAUUGAUACUAUAUAGAAAUAUUUAACAAGGUUCCCAUGCUUACCUUGAACUUUUCUGCAAACUGCAUUGUGUGUUGAUAUAAUCUUUGCAGCUACUGACUCUAUCUAGCUGGACAAAUUCCUGAACUUCAACCUCAUCUAACAAGUUCAGCCCGGGAAAAGAGUCAUACUUCACUGAAGAGUGUAGCUUCUGUCCAGAAUUGUCAUAACUGUUCAGUUUCUUGUUUUCUUUCCUUGUUGACCCUUUGCUUGAAUCAAUAGAAUGAUUGUUUUUAUCGUUCAUUCUUUCCAGGUCAAUAUAUUCUAUGCAGCUGUUGUUCUGAUCAGUUUGCAAAGAUGUCUGAACUUCAAAAUUACCUUGAGACUUCUGAUGGGAAAAAGGGUCAUACUUGCUUAUAGAUUGUACAUUCUGUCCAGAAUGAUCAGACUUGUUAAGUUCCUGAGUAUUCUGUUUUGUCACCUCUUUGCAUUGAUCCAUAGAAGAGACAUGGUCCACAUCGUUGUCAGAAUUUUCUAAGCCAUUAAACAUUUUCUUGCCAACCCAACCCUGAGAGCAAGUUUUGGCAGGAAAACCAAUUAGUUCAUCCACUGAGUUAUCCAUAUAAAGAAAAGAAAAGUCUAGUGAUACUAGAGAAAGAAAUGGUAAAAGAUGGGACCUUGACAUCUCUGAAAAAAGACUUUAAACCCUCUAGUGAUGCGUCAAAGCUAUCAUACUGUUUAAUGGAUUUCCUUAGCCACUUAGAAAUAUGAGCUCUAUUCCUUUCCUCUUGAAAGCGCUCAUCUGCUUGCCAAUAAAAUGUGGCAUUAUAAUCUCAUUGACAAGGGAUUUGAGCAUCUCUAUUAAAGAGAACAAAGUGGGAUUUACAAAUAUAUGAAAUGUGAAGAUUAAUACAAAUUUAAGGAAACAACUUGACCUGAGGUAGAUGCAAGGCACAACAUGAACAAAUAAUUCAAAACAGUUACCUAAUAAGAUGAUGGCUCCAUAGUCAAACCUAUGUCUUAUGCAGCGUCCUACAAAAGGAGUAAAAUGCAGUACAAACAAUAGAAUCAUCAAAUGAUGCCAAGGAAAAAUAAGAAGAAAAAAUUUGUCUGUUAUAUGUAAAAACCACCCAGCAAAACCCAGUGGCUGACUAUAAUAAUAAAAUCACCCCACAAGAUAAUAGACAAAGUGCAAUGCUUGACGCAUUGCUUAGCAUACCUAUAGCUUGAUUUAGAGCUCGAAAGGCUUGGUUGCAGUACCACUCAUUACCACUUAGAAGAUUUUUUGAUGAUCUAUAUGUAUCAUUAUAUUUCUUCUUCAAUGAAACUUGAAUAUCAUUUCUGGUAAGAAAUUCACAGGAAUCAGUCCCUGUGACUUGCAAAAUUACAUAAUGAUCUUGUUAGGAAAAAAAAAAAAAAGAACAGGUAAGUAUUCUCACAUGUUUGGAAAUGGUAUGCCAACAACUAUCUGAGAAAGUUAAGGACUUCCAAACUCAUGAGAAAAAAACAAUGGGAAUUCUGGCAAGCAUGCAUACAAUUUAAUUUAAUGCAACUCAAGUUGGAGUCCCAUUGCCCGUUAUAUUGGCCAAGUUAAUGUUGAGUCCAAGAUAUUAUUACAACCAAUUUCUUUCCAUUUUUCCAAAGUUGGCCAAAGUGACAUCACAAUCCUAAUCCAAAAUUAUGCAAAUUAAAAAGCAGAACUCUUGGCCCAGAAAAUUUAAAGAGGAAAAAGGAUACAACCACUCGAGCAUUAUCAUCGCUGAAGUCAAUUCCUUCUGAAACCUGCAAACAAAUAUAGCAAUUUAGACAUUUAGUAAAAUACAAAAUGCAGAUUGAACAAAAAAUCAACACAUAAUGCAUCCGCAACCGUAUGAUAAUUGUCAUAUGACAUAAAACAUAAAUUUCACACCUUUCCACGGCAAACUGCAAGGAAACUGGCUCCUUUCUUAUUAGCAUUUUCCUGAGACUCAAUUGUGUUUAAGUCAUUAUUGCCUUCUCUCUUAACUCUUUUCUUUCUCACAACAGCACAUUUACUGCCUUGUGAAAUUGAGUUGUAAUAAUGCUUCAAAACAAUCUCAAAGUCUUCCUGGCUUCCCCCUUUUGGCUCUGCACCAACAACCAAGACAAUAAGCAUAAGACUCCAACUAAAUAGUAGCCAAGAUAAUUCCAGCAAGAACAACAAAGUAGAAUAAUUGCCAUGUAAAGAUAACUUCAAAAUCUAUGCAAAAAGGCUAAAAAUUGUGAAACAAGACAAGGAAAACAACAAAGUUAAUAUAGAAAUGAAGAAUGUUUUCUCAGAUAGCAUAAAAGAUGUGCUGACCCACAAAAAGAGGUUUCUUUGCAUUAAGUCGAGACCAUUGGCCUGUUUCACGCCAACGAUUGCACAGUUUCUCCAUCAACUUAUAACUAGGGAAGAAUACAAGAGAGCCACCAGGAACAACGUUGCAUAUUUCCUCUAUAGAUUUGCCAAGGGCAUCCUUCAAAACAAUAUAUGUACAACCAAUAAUUUAUUGAACUAUAAAAGAGGAGACCACUCUCAGACAAUCAAAAUCAAUGUGACAAAAAGCAGAAGAUACCUGAAAAGCAUACCCAUCUGCAGUUUUAUAACUUGCAUUCAAUGGAUAAUUAUCUGGACCAGUGGAGAUUACAGAAGUCAACACCUGCAAAACAGUUGAUGGUCCAUAACUGCAAUAGUAGUAUAACAAACCAAAACCAAUUAGCAGAGAGAUGGAGGAAAAUGGCAUUCAUACCUGCAAAUCAACAUCGAUGACAUGCGGAGCCUCCAGACAAGUUCCGAAUUGAACUCCAAGCUCAGAAGAGAAGGAAUUCAUUGGUGAUAAGGUCCUAUUUUCAGAGAGAUGAGUACUAGCGUAAAGGAAAGACGCUACUUUGGGUCAUGCAAUUAAAGCAAAGAGAUAGUUUGUAAAAAAGGGCAAAUGCACAGCUUUUACUCAAUCAUAUGGUAUGAGACUGACCAGACAUGAAAAUAAUAUCUUGUAGUCCAACAUUCAAUACUAAGCAGCAGACCAUGGCCAAUUUUAGAAAGAGUAUAUCAGUCCUUAUGGAUAUAGUGGGGAGGUAUAGUGACCUCCACUUAGUUGCUCAACACAUACUCAUGCAUUGAAGGUAGUAAACAAAAGUACAAGAUGUUUCCACAAUAUGCAUACAUGCCUUGUGACUGAGGAAUCAAGCAGUUUAAAAUGAGCUUAGCAAUCCAGAUAUGGCAAUGUCAUAGCUUACCCCGAUGUUAAAAUAAUAGACAAAGAAAGCUCAGCAACAUCCUUGAAAACAACAGCUGGAUUCAAGCACCACAAACUUAAAGUAUGUGUCCAGUUUCCACCAGGGUUUUCUGCAUGGAGUAUUAUUCAUUAACAAUGCUGGCCAUCAGUUUUCUCUAAACAAGAAAGCCCAUGUUAAAAUGGACCAACAAUAACAUAUCCUACAACAAAAACAGUUGAACACUUGAUGGCAAGUAAUAAUAACAUAUUGAGAAGGAACAGAUAAUAACAGAGAUCAAGAUUAUGGAGUUCACCUAAUACAAUUCAAAUGUAGAGUCAAUUCCAUAAAUGGCUUAAUGCAGAAGUUCAAUAUAGACAUUUUUUCUCUAAAAAUUCCAAAAACUAACGUAUAUUAAGUUGGUGGAUACAGUUUCUUAGAGAAACAGUAUCAAGAUCCCCUGAUACAUGAAUUUUCCAAUCAUCUUAUUAAGGAAUCUUACAUAGCUAGGGUUUUGGUUUGAUAAUGACUGGUGCAUAAACCUGUUAGGCUUUCCAUCUGCUACCAUAAGCCCUUAGACUGAUUUUCAAUCACACUUGGCCAAAUAAUAUAUUACCUAUAAGAGUUUGGUCAGCAAUGUCUAUAUAAUUAUUUCACAAAUUCAAACCAUAGAUUCAUAAUCUAUUGACUUUCAUUGAUGACAAAAUUAAAAUGACCCUUAAAAGAAUUAAUCAAAUCAUCAAGUAUUGACCACUUACUUGAAUCUCUUUUAAUAUAUUUCUGUAAAGCAAGCUGAUAAUCAGAUACAUGAGAACCGUUUCUUGAGAAGAAAUAGGUAAGUGAGGAGAAUAACCCUGUUGCAUUUUCAAAGGCAAUCAGUAACAAUAACAAAUGUUCAAUAGUUAAUAGAAAAGCUGUGGGAUCAGGUCACUAUGACAAGAAGACUUGUACCUUCCAAUGUUAUGACUGACAUGCCACUCAGAUGAGGUAACUCUGAUUCUGUGUCUGUAGCUUCUUUGAUUGCCUUUGACCAAACAAAGAAAGUUUAUAAACUUUGGAAGAUAGUCAGAAUCAAACCCCCAAAACUUUCUUAACAGUGUACCUUUGUGGCACAUUCUAGCAAUAUUGGAAAGCACUGCCGUGAGAUGUUAGCUUCUUGGAGUUCUCUUAAAGCUUUAUCACCAGUCCAACUUCAAUAUAAAAUGACAACAAUAAGAUAAAGAAAUGAAACAAAUUUGAUUUUGUUAUUUACAAAAUUCAUACUCUAAUAUGAGUUACUCAAGAGCAUAGUAGUGCAUUUAAUAAUUCAUUUAAAGAAACUUCUUGUAUAGCUAAAACAACUGACCAAGAGAAGAAGUGCUGAAAUUCCCGCUUUGCUAAUGUUGCUUUCCUGCGCUCAAUCCAGCCUACGAGGUCCUAUACAUCCAUAACUCCCACCAUUGUCCAAGAUCCAAUGAUGCAAUUUGAAAGCCAGAAAUUGUGAAAUAAAAUGACCAAAAUUUACCUGGGUCAUUUCAAUUAAUGGUUGGUAAAUCAUGGGAUUAACAGAGCACACUUGCUCUAGUUCCAUCUGCAAUUCUUUCAUAAGCCAUAACCACUAUAAGCGCCAAGAAUCACAAAAUUUCAAAAUUACAUAGGAAUUUUUUCCGAACCUACUUAGCAAAACAUCUUCAUCAAUAUCCACACUACCGGCAUCACGGGCAAUGUCUUCGAUAUUGCUGAAAAAAAACAAAUUAUGUCUGUAAGUGUUCAACUCCAGAGAUAAUAAAAAAUUUUAAAAUCAUUUACUUCUUCAGCAUGACCUAAAGAACUUAAUAGAAGUUUAUAGGAAAAUAAGUAAAUAAAAGUUGUGAAACAUACUGGGCUUCAUCAAGAAUUAAAAUGGCUCCUUUAAUAUCAACUUCCAUAGCACCCCGAAUGACAGGAUUAAUGAUGUAGCUGUAGGGACAAAACACCAACUGCGCAUCAUCUGCCAUGGAGCGUGCAGCAUAAUAUGAACAUCCUGAAAAAUGCAUAGCCUCAAUGAAAUGCUUGUUGCCCAAAAUUGUAGUAUUUCAUGUGUAGAAUGAAAAUAUGAGAUGAACCUCUAACGACUUGUCCAACAUUCACCAGAUCUUCAAUAUCAUGAACCUCAUGGCAACCUCCUUUCUGAAGUGAUGGGUGACCUCUGACUUUAUGCACAUUUCUGUUUGAAAUAAAAUUAUUAUUAGACCAUACUUUAGCUUUUUCCAUUAGCAGUAGCAUCAGACAUCACUAAGAUUAAAUGAGCAUGUAAAAAUAGAGAAAUAACUUACUUAAAUUGAGGACAACCCAAAUUUCGAUCCCCCAAAAGCAGCUUGCUAGAAAAAAAAUAGUUAUCAUGAGAGAAUGAAAGCAAAAUCUUGUUGAUGUGUUUGGAAAAAAAAAAAAAAACACCACACCAUUCUUCAUCAAUAUUCUCUUUGUCACGUACGUACUUGUUUGUGCAAUAAUGUUUACGCGAAGCCUGAUGGGACAUGAAAUAGAAGUUAAUAAACUCAUAGAAGCUUGAACUACACCACUAGUAGGGAUAAACAUUUUUAUUUAAUAUGAUUUUUUUUCAGAUUGCUUCAUUUCAUAGAGAGUUCCAAAGCAAUAUCAACCUCUAAAGCAAUUGCUAUUGGUUUCAUCAAUAUUGACUGUCUUCCUCACUAAUCACCGACAGCAUUAAAAUUAAAAACACUCAAAUGCUAACAGAUAAAACUCAUCAAAGACAUCAGCAAGCAAUAAUUUUCAGUCUAUAAUUUCUGGAGAAAGAACAAGGACAGAAUAUGUAAAAUGUAACUAUAGUCAUGGGUGUUGAAUGGAUGAUCUGAACAAGAGCCAAAGGACUCCAUAAAGCCCAGUGCUAAAACAAACCUAAAACAAAUAGAUUAUAGUCAUGGGUCAUUAAUAUAAGGAUGUAUUAAAACAUACCAACACUGCCAUUGGCACCCGAUAAGCAGUUUUCUUGUAUUCAGAAAUCACUUGAGAAAUUUGUGAAUGUGUCCUCCUAGUGUGAACAGAAAACACACAAAACCAUUAAUAUGUGCAAAUUCUUAAUUAGCAUCCAUAAGAGUAAAAACUUUUUGCACAGAAAUUACAAAGAUCAAAUGGUGUCCAGUAUCUUGCGCGCUUGGCCUCACUCUUUCCCUUUAUGAAUCUCACAUAAUUAUUACUGGCAAGCAGGACAGGUUUGAUGAACACAGUGAACUCAAUCUAUUCACAAACUACAAUCUCUUAAAACAUCAGAAACACCAUGACUUAAUUAUCACAGCUUAAUAAGCGUACCUAAAAGUAAGAUUAUAUCAAAAUUUAACUUAAUAUAAGAUAUAAACCGUCAAUUAAACAGAUACAACAAACAUAUAGUAACUCGACAAGAUAAAACUCACGAUGCAUAAAAUAUUGUAGGCGUCAUCUUUUUCUUCACAUUCUUGUUGUUCAUCGCAACCUGAGCCGUCUGGCCAUUUGUUGACGGCGGAAUAGCUAACAACACGAAGCAAUAAUAGUCAUGUCAAUAGCAAUGAAACAUUUUCAUUUUCUCAAGUUUUGAAAAAUAUUAAAUCAAUAUGAUGACGUGGCAUUAUUACUUGAAGGCUGUGAUUCGGGGAUGAAUCCGCCACCAUUUGCCAGAGGAUCGGUGACGGCCUCGGUAUCAGGUUUGGAGUGAGAGAUGUUUGCUAACUGAUUCUUUAAUUUACAAUUCUGCUGCCAAGCGAGAGUCGAGCAAAGAAGCGAGAGAGAUUUUCCAGUACCGGUCGGAGACUCGAGUAAUGCGUGACAGUGACCGUCUCUUUGCGCUCGAUCAAGCGUCGAUAUCACGCGGCACAUGAACACAAGCUGCGACCCGUAUGGUUGGUACGGAAACUCCACUUGGAUUCCCCCGACGUGGUACGCAUUCAGGGGCUUUCUGUAAUUAGGGUUUGGGUUUGCCUCUGAGACCAUUUUUGCAUUUCUAUUUGGAGAUCUUGGAUGAAAGAAACUGAGAUAAAAUAUUGAGAGGGAGCUCUAAAAGUGAAAUGAAAUGGAUGUUUUGGGAGUUUUAGCGGGAAUUUUUUUUGAGUGAGGCGGUAAAUUCUGCACCGCAGGGUUGAACAGUGAACACAAUUUUAUUAAGCAACGUAUCAGCGUUGGCGUGAUGAAUGUGUUACGCCAACUUCGUACCUUUUCGUAAAUCGAAAAAUGAUAAUCGUCUGCCUUCGGCACGUAAGAUUAAAUUAAAUUAAUUAUAACAAAAAUUAAAAUAUUUUUUUUUUAUCUUGAAUUUAAAUUUUUUAGAUGCUUAUUUAUUUUAGGUUGUUUAUUUUUUUAAUUUUUCACUUAUUUUCAGAUAAUUUUAUAUGAAUAGAAAAAAUAAAAAAGGCCCACUUUUAUAUGAAAGUUCGAAAUCUAAAUCGAAAUCUAAAUAGAAAAUUUUAAUUUCAAAUAUCAAAAAUAUCCUUAACAAUUUAUGUAUUUUCAAUAUUAUAUAUAAACCUAAUAAUUUUGUAUUAUUUUUGAAGUUAUUUUUUAAUUGCUUUAAAUUUUUAUUCACAUGAUAGCAUUAGAUAAACUAAAAAUAUUAAACAAAUCAAAUUGUAUUCAUUGUGAUGAAUCAAAAAUAAAAUAAUAAUGUUGACUUUAUAAUAAAAUUUGAUAUUAUAAUUACAUCUUUUAAUAAAAAAUUAAAUUAAGAUCAACAAUGAUAAUAUUUUUUUUAAAUGCUAUCAAACUAAUCAACCUGUAAAAAUUAUAAAUUGUGAAGAGUAAAUAUAUGCACUACUUGAAAGGGUAUUAACGUCAAAUUAUUAACUUUUAAGUUUUUCUUUUCAGAUGUUGAAAAUAAAAAAAUAAACAUGUCAUUCAUAAAAUUUUAUUUAAACCUAUUCAGAUUUCAAAUAAAAAAAUAAAUACAACCUAAAUUUUUGUUAGCUUUUACAUAACAAGUCAACAUAAAUUAAAUUUAAAAAAUACUUUUUUAACUUUGAGUUUUGUAUUUUUACUUCUUCCCUUUUUGUUUAUUCCUAUUCUCUAUUUCUCUUCCAUCGCGUUCUAGCCCACUUGAUUCACCGUGGUCUUUGGAUGGUGAGGACCACUAAAAGUUGUAGUAAGUCCAGAAACAUCAAUCACGCAAGGGCGCCCCAUGCCAUACGUUUAAAGAUGGCAAAUUCUCCAUUUCGUCCCUCAAUAAAUUUAAUGGUAAUAGACUAAUAGGGUAGAGACGAAAAAUCCCUAAAUAAGGAUUAAUUUUUUUAUUUAUUAGUAGAUAUGUAUAAAUGAUUUCAGUAAAUUAAAAAUAAAGACUUAAAUAAAAUUAUUAACAUAUUAUAAAGUAUUUAAUUAUUUAAAAAAAUCUAUAAAAGGUUGAAAUAAUAUCAAAAUUAAAAAAUAUUUGAAGAGUGCAACAUGUUGAGAAAGAAAAGAAAACAUAACAAUGUUUUAAUGUUGAAUAAGAAUUACAAUGUAGAGUUUUCUUUUAGUUAUAAUCUAUUUAUAUUAGGUAAAAAAAUAUUAACCAACAUUGUAAUUGACAAAACAAAAAUUUUAAAAUAUUCAUAUAUAAUAGGGAUUGAGUAGAGAGUACAAAACUAAACCCUACCGCAUUAAGAAUUUGAGAAUUAUUUUUCUUCAAUUCUCCAUCUUAUUCUGCAAAAUUAUUCAAAAUUCACUCCAUUUAAGGUGGAGCCCUGUGAAUUUCUAAAUUCAUUAAGGAUUUUGCCACCCUAACCCUACCUGUGAAAUUGAUGGAGAUAUAAAAAAUUGGAGCCCGGAAUGAUGAGAAAUCUUUUUUGAAUUAGAAGCCAUUCUUUCUUAAUUCCUAGCGGACAUAAUAUGCAUAAACCUAAUUUGAUACAUCAGACAACUUUUACAAAUUCUACUUAGUUUUUUCCUUCACCACAAGGACUACGGUUUCAUCCUUUUAUUGCACUUCUCAGAAGUCGAUGUUGGUUUGUGUGCUUUGGCUGAUGGGAUCAAGAGCUUUAUUGCACUAACGUUUCUCUUGUUUCAAUAUUUUAAUAAUCAAUGACUCAACACUUAUGUCUGUUUAUGCUAGUAACAGAAUAUGGAUAAGAGAAUAUUGUAACAAAGGAGCAGAUUUUUUUUUUUUCAGCAAAUUAAAAAUUCCAAGAAGCGUUACAUGGGAUAUAAUCUAUUGACUUGAAAGAGUUUACAAGAACCAAAAUAAUAACACGGUAAGAACCACAAAAUUUCGGCUCACAAUCUUUUCAAUUGAAUGUAGACGCAAAUUAAAAAAAAAAAAAAUUGCAUAUAAUAUAGUUUUAUUUCAAAAAAAAAAAACUUAGAAAAUGAAACUGCUUACACCAGGCCAAAUCAUAGUCGAUAAUGAAAAAAAAAAGGAACUCAACUAUAGCAUACAACGAGUAAUCCAUGGUCUAGACAAACUAUUCUUCAUAAGGCCUAGUAUAUAGCAAAGCCAAAAACUCCCCCAACAGCAAGAUUAAGUUCCAACAGUACAAAUCGAUAUAGAUUCACAUAAUAUAACAAUAAUCGAGAAACAAAACUCAAUAACUACAAACUUGAGUAAUGCAAAUCAUCUAACAAAAAUUUAGUCGAAAUUCUCCCAUAAAGGGUGGAUAGUCUUGACCGCCUGACAAAGUUAAAAUCCCCCACAGACCUAGCUGGUAUAACACAUUUGAUUCCAUUAAUUUUUCUUCUUUCUUCACUUUCAAGCAAGCACAGUUGAUAGUGUUAGGUGCGUAUAAUAUUCAGGAAGCAUUCUUUUUCACCGUCUCAUUUUCGCGAUGCUGUAAAAGAAUAACUAUAAUAAUAAUAAUAAAAUAUAUGUACUUUCAUCAGCUAUAGCAUAAAAAUAGAUUAAUACCACAUUUUAUUAAGCUUUUAUCAAAUCCUAGCCAUUGAAAUUAAUAAUAUCACAUAUCAAUAAAUGUUUAAAAAUUCAAAUACUACUAAGAUUAUGAGAGAAUUUGAAAUAGUAAAAAUAUUCACAAGUAUCAUUUGUGUGGGAGUCAGUUAUUUUUUAUUUUAGUUUAUUUAAGUUUUUGAAGAUUGAAUAAGAUGAGUUCGAUAAUUUGAAAAUAAUAUCCUUAAUUAAUAAUGAAUGUCACUUGUUAAUACCAAAUUUUAUUAAGCUUUUAUCAAAUUCUGGCCAUUUUAAUUAAUAAUAUAACAUGUCAAUAGGUUUUUAAAAGUUCAGAUAGUACUCAGAUUAGAAGAGAAUAUAAAAUAGUAAAAAUGUUUAACCGGUAUCAUUAGAGUGGGUGUCAGUUAUUUUUUAUUUUAAUUUAUUUAAUGUUUUGAAGAUUGAAUUAGAUGAGUUCGAUCAUUUGCAAAAUCUUAAUAAAGGGCAUUGGAUGCCUUGGCCCAAUCAAAAGUCCAGAACGGUCAAUAGUAAUCAGCCCAUAUCACAUUUUCAUCAUCACGGCGAACGUGCUUUAACAAACCUCUUAACAAUGGCGUUUGCAUUUCUGAGGCUCACUAGCGAAGCUUUCAACAGUUCCUUUCAUGGCGUUUCUUUCGCGGUUUUACAGAACCAGGUACCCUUUAUCCUCCCUAAGCUCGUCAUUUUCACUGUUUUUAUUUUCAACUUCAGUUCGGUCAAACUUGUCAUACAACGAACUGUUAUCGAAUCAAAAGAAGAAUAUGUCAAGCCUCGACGAACAUCACGUUCUCAAGGAACUAUCAGAUUUAUUUCAAAUUUCUAGUCAUAAUUCAUUUCCAAAUGUAUAUAAAGAGAGUCGUAGUAAUUCAGUUAAACGAAUAGACAGCAGCAGGGCAGUUGACGAGUUUUUAUUACCCGAGGAGAGACUACGAGGGGUUUUCCUUCAAAAGCUGAAGGGUAAAGGCGUAAUUGAAGAUGCUUUAUGGAAUGUGAAUGUGGAUUUGAGUCUUGACGUUGUUGGUAAAGUUGUAAAUAGAGGGAAUUUGAGUGGGGAAGCGAUGGUUUUGUUUUUUAAUUGGGCAAUUAAGCACCCAAACGUAGCUAAAGAUGUCAAGAGUUAUAAUGUGAUUGUUAAAGCAUUGGGGAGAAGAAAGUUUUUUGAUUUCAUGUGCAAUGUUUUGAGUGAUAUGGCUAAGGAAGGCGUAAAUCCUGAUUUAGAGACUUUAUCCAUUGUGAUGGAUAGUUUUAUCAGGGCCGGUCAGGUUUAUAAAGCUAUACAAAUGCUUGGGCGCUUAGAAGAUUUUGGAUUGAAAUUUGAUGCUGAAUCUUUGAACGUUGUUUUAUGGUGUUUGUGUCAACGAUUACAUGUUGGUGCUGCGAGUUCGUUGUUUAACUCAAUGAAAGGGAAGGUUUUGUUUAAUGUAAUGACGUAUAAUAUUGUCAUCAGUGGGUGGUCAAAACUUGGUCAAGUUGUUGAAAUGGAGAGAGUUUUGAAGGAAAUUGUAGCUGAAGGUUUUAGUCCUGAUAGCUUAACUUUCAGUUUUCUUAUUGAGGGUUUAGGUAGAGCUGGUAGAAUUGAUGAUGCCAUUGAGGUUUUUGAUACUAUGAAGGAGAAAGGCUGUGGGCCAGAUACGAAUGCUUACAAUGCUGUGAUUUCUAAUUACAUUUCUGUUGGAGAUUUUGAUGAAUGUAUGAAAUACUAUAAGGGCAUGUCAAGUUAUAAUUGUGAGCCAAAUAUGGAUACAUAUACCCGAUUGAUUUCUGGGCUCCUCAAAUCCCGAAAAGUUGCUGAUGCACUUGAGGUUUUUGAAGAGAUGCUGGAUCGAGGGAUUGUUCCCUCCACGGGGACUAUAACAUCUUUCCUUGAACCUUUGUGUAGCUAUGGUCCACCUCAUGCUGCGAUGAUGAUGUAUAAGAAAGCAAGGAAAGUUGGGUGCAAACUAUCCCUUACAGCUUAUAAGUUAUUGCUCAGGAGGCUGUCUGGAUUUGGGAAAUGCGGAAUGCUGCUAGAUUUAUGGCACGAGAUGCAAGAAAGUGGUUAUCCUUCUGACGGGGAAAUUUAUGAAUAUGUCAUUGCCGGACUUUGCAAUAUAGGUCAGCUUGAAAACGCUGUUCUUGUUAUGGAGGAAUCUUUGCGUAAGGGUUUUUGCCCAAGCAGGCUUGUUUAUAGCAAACUUAGUAACAAACUACUUGCUUCAAACAAAUUAGAGAGUGCUUAUAACCUAUUUCGGAAGAUUAAAAUUGCUCGUCAAAAUGAUUAUGCUCGGCGGUUAUGGCGUUCUAAGGGGUGGCAUUUUUAAGCUGAUUUGCUUAUCUUUGGCAAGCAAACUAUAGUCUUUGUGGCAGAAGGUAGUAACUUUCUUGUAGGGUGUGGUAAUUCUACUAUCAAGUGCAAGCUUUUGUUUAACCCGAUUCUUCAUAAACUGUGAACUUAUGCUUCUGUCAUUCAUGUUAUGUCUACUUGUCUUAAUAGCUUCAACAGCAUCUUGCAUACUAAUAUUUAAAAUGAAAAACUAAUUUUAGGCUGUUGACAUAUUGGUGUUUGUGAAGCUUAUGAUUUUUUAUUUUCUAUAUUCGUGCAUUAAAAAAUAGCUGUCUUUAUGAAAUUCUUUAUCCUUAUUGCUUUAUGCGUAGGUGCACAUUAUUCCUGUGGACUAGACCUUGAAGGACAAGUAUGCUAUUCCGUUAGCUUGUUACCAGAGCCUUGGUUGUUCAUGGAAAGAAGAGUUAAUGCUAACAUUCAAGGUGAAAUUUUAACCAGAUUUUGAACUCAAUCACAGGCUCACAGCAGUACUUGAUUGGAUUGUUAAAAUAUGUGGUGCAGGAAGUAGAGCGGCCUGUGACUGUGAUAAUCUUGGUUCUGGUUCGGAAGGCCUUAUGUGCUGCUAAUGAUAAAGGAAAAACCAUGGACACUAUUUCGGGAAAUUUUAGCUGCUGUUGUUAGGGAUUUCCGUGCUGACAUGUUUUAUAAUAGAAGCAAGCAGAGCAGAACAAUAACUUUUUUAAGCUUCCUCAGUUCAGCAAUUUUCUAAAUUUAUUGUAUAACUCAAGUUUUUAAAUCUAAACGAUUGUCUUUGUUUACUUGUUUUUACACCCUAACAAUUAUUCCAAAACCGCCGAGGUUUAUAUUCAUUCUAGAAUGGCAUUAAUUUAGACCCUCUCAACAAUCAGACGGAAAGAAAAUAUUGUUCUUUUCUAUAAUUAACUGUUUUUCGAAGUGUACUUUUGAAGCUGCGUGAUGUGGAUCCUGCUGAUCCAAUUCCCAAGCCGGGCUGAGCCCUCAGAUAAAAUGUCUAAAAUGAUAAAUUGCCGAAUAGACUGUAGUAACUAAAAUUAAAGAAGAAAAGAGGGGGUAAAUGAAAUAUUUACGCCAAAGCCCAAGGGCCAUAAGUUAAAAAUAAUAAUGAUAACAAUAAGGAAAAGAGAUAGAUCCUGUGACAGUCUGCGUUCCUUCCGAUCGAGAGAGACUGUACAGCCAUUUUUGCAAAGGAAAUUCUCUUCUCUCGCUUUAAUCUUUAAUUAAUUGUUACUUAGCUUCCAAAUCCCCAUAUCAUCUUCUCGAUCUAAACACCUUAUUUAAAUUCCACCAAUUCGUCGCUGCACUAUUAAAGAUUCCUUUCGCCGGUUGUUGCAUCGUCACUUUGAUGCUUUAUAUUCAAUUGAUUAAUUAUUUCAUUUCACGGUUUGAUCGGAGACUCGAUUAAUUUGAUCAAUUUGGAGUUGUUUUUUCGGUUAGUUUAGAAUCUUAGAUGGCGGGGCCAAAUCAAGAUCAAUUCGAAUCGUUUUUUAGGAGGGCCGAUUUAGAUGGUGAUGGUCGAAUUAGUGGAGCUGAAGCUGUCGCGUUCUUUCAAGGAUCUAAUUUGCCCAAACAAGUCCUUGCUCAGGUUGCUUUUUUAACAUGUCUUUUAUAUUUAAUUUCGACUUACUGCUUAUUCCCUGUUGAGUAGAAUUUCUGUUUAUAUUUAGAACCUAAAUUAUCUCAAAGCUGUUUUUCUGGUGUCACAAUGUGAAUUUUCUUGAUAGUUUGAAACCUCAUUGUUACUUCUCAUAAUUAGAAAGUUUGCUGGCUAUUUCUGUCUAGUCAAUACUUUUAGUUGGUUACUACAUUCGUUAUUUUUUAUGUUUCCUGAGCUUUAAACCUUAUUUUCCUGGAUCUCCUAGGAUAUAAAUAUCAUAGGAAAAUAUGAUUUGAUUAAUGAUUUAGGGAGAAGUAAAAAGAAUUACGUUCUUAACUUCAUUUUAUCUGUGAAACCACGUUCUAAUUACCUAGUAUUGACAAUAAUGACAUUGUUCUUAAGCGUAUGCAGUAUUAAGUGACAUUGUUCUGAAGCAGAUGGAUUGCAUUUAAUGUCUUGUAGAUUGUCAUUGUUCCUGUUGCGUAAGGACGCCUAAACCUGAUUUGACAUUGCGCUUCAUGAUAACGAUGCAUGCUACUCAAACAUUUUCUUUAUGGAUGCAGAUAUGGAUGCAUGCUGAUCAUAACCAUACUAGUUACCUUGGCCGGCAAGAAUUUUAUAAUGCUCUCAAACUUGUAACUGUGGCCCAGAGUAAGCGGGAACUAACACCAGAUAUAGUCAAGGCUGCGCUCUAUGGUCCUGCUGCCACCAAAAUACCGCCGCCACAGAUCAAUCUUUCAGCUACGCCUGCUCAACAAAUAAAUUCAACGGCUGCUGUAUCCGUUCCACAAAUGAGUGUGCCAACACAAAUGGCUCCUCAGAAUUUUGGUUUUAGAGGACCAGGAGCUCCAAAUGUUAGUCAGGUCCAGCAGCAGUCUAUUAGACCAUACCAAGCUGCUCCCCAUCCAACUCAGGGUUCUGUUGGUCCAGACUUCUCUCGGGGAGGUAGUGUGAUGGGUCAAACUCAAGUCAUGCCAGGGAGUACUGCUCCCCGUCCACCUCAAACCAUGCCUGCUGGUACUGCUCCCAGGCCGCCUCAAUCCAUGCCUGCUAGUACUUCUCCCCACCCACCUCAAUCCAUGCCUGAAAGUACUGCUGGUCUGAAUGUGCCAAACUCAAACAUAUCCAGUGAUUGGCUUAGUGGAGGGGCUGGUGGAGCUUCAACUGGGUCAAGAGCAAUCAGUCCAUCAACACCUCUGAUGCCAACAAAUCCUCAAACUCCAGUUUCAUCGUCUUCACAGCUUAUAAAUAAUAAAUCUAAAGCAUUAGUUCCUUCUGGAAAUGGUUUUGCUUCUGAUUCAGUUUUUGGAGGCGAUGUGUUUUCUGCAAUUACAACUUCUCCGAAACAAGGGCCUUCUUCGUCAGCUUAUUCGGCUAGCACUUCACCUACCUCGUCUGCCAACGUUCCAGUUUCAGGUGCUGCUCAACCUUCAAGUAAGCCCUACCCGCUCAACUCGUUGCAGAGUGCUUUCUCUAUGCAACCUGCAGGCAGCCAGAUUCCGCAAAACCAGUUAUCUUUGAACCCAGGACAGAAAAUUUCUUCUCAAAGUUCAUCAUUUGCUUCAGCUGGGAUUUCAGUGGGGUCGGGAAAUUCAACUCCUGAUAAUUCGCAGUUUCCUUGGCCAAAGAUGAAACCAUCGGAUAUUCAGAAAUAUUCAAAAGUGUUUAUGGAAGUAGAUACUGACAGAGAUGGAAGAAUCACUGGCGAACAGGCGAGGAAUUUAUUUAUGAGUUGGAGGCUACCAAGAGGUAAUUUCAUUUUUCUUCUUGAUAUGUCUCUUUAUGCUUGGCUUUUUACUUCAUUUUACUUCUUAAAGUUUUAUACCUAGUUUCUUAAAGGCAGUUGCCCUUCUUGUUACAAUUGCCAUAAUUUUCAUUGCACCAAUUCAAUU